rnacentral:rRNA from 1 species
UACAGAGGGUGCAAGCGUUAAUCGGAAUUACUGGGCGUAAAGGGCGCGUAGGCGGGUUAUUAAGUUAGAUGUGAAAUCCCUGGGCUUAACCUAGGAACUGCAACUAAUACUGAUAGUCUAGAGUGCUGUAGAGGGUAGUGGAAUUUCCGGUGUAGCGGUGAAAUGCGUAGAUAUCGGAAGGAACACCAGUGGCGAAGGCGGCUACCUGGACAGACACUGACGCUGAGGCGCGAAAGCGUGGGGAGCAAACAGG